UCCUGGUAGCUCAGAUGGUGAAGAGUCUGCUUGCAAUGCAGGAGACCCAGAUUCAAUCCCUGGACCAGGAA
rnacentral:tRNA from 1 species